GAACUUCAAUGGACUUUUUUUAAUUUAAGUUACCUGCAUCAGUUUUAAACGGAUACACAGAGAUAUACCUGUAUUGAUGAUUACAAUGUGUGUUCAAAAAUCGUGAAUAAUGUAUAACGAUUGCAGGUUGUCGUCACAGUCAUGAUCGGUUGGUGAUCAAACUUUAUUUUUACGUACAUUUAUCCAGUAUUGAUAUUAAUUUAGCUCGUGGAAUUUCUCAUUAAAGAAGAAAAUGUAAACAACUCCGAUAUGAGUAAAAUAUGGUGGAUUUUGUUAUUACUAAUUUUUCAUUUCAAAGAGAUCAAAUGUUUGUCAUGUUAUUCGUGCAUAGAAGGUGAAUCUAAUAUGAGAUGUAAUGUCGCUGGAACAAUUACAUGUGAUUUCAAUCAAACGUGUUACACAGAAGUCACAAGAAGACCUUUAGUAGUAACACGGUAUACAAAAGGAUGUAUGGACAUUGUGGGAUGUUAUACAAAAAUGAAUCUGAAUGAUAAAAUGGCUUGUGAUGAGACACCAUCUAAGUGUACUUAUUGUUGUACAACUGACAUUUGCAAUGCUUCAAACAAAUCAACACGUAUUCAAAUAAUGAAAAUAUUGUACCCAUUAGUUUUCAUAUUUAUUCACUUCAGGUGGACGUUUAUAUAAGUAAAAAUCCGAGACAGAU